GAUGAACGCUGGCGGCGUGCCUAAUACAUGCAAGUCGAGCGGAGAGGGGACGGGGGAGUAACACGUGGGUAACCUCCUAUAAGACUGGGAUAACCUACGGAAACCGGAGCUAAUCCGGAUACUUUUAGCUGGAUGCGCUUUGCAUUAGCUAGUUGGUAGGGUAACGGCUUACCAAGGCAACGAUCCCUAGCAGACCUGAGAGGGUGAUCGGCCACACUGGAACUGAGACACGGUCCAGACUCCUACGGGAGGCAGCAGUAGGGAAUCUUCCGCAAUGGGCGAAAGCCUGACGGAGCCACGCCGCGUGAGUGAUGAAGGCCUUCGGGUCGUAAAGCUCUUUUAUUAGGGAAGCGGUACCCACACAGAAAGCAACGGCUAACUACGUGCCAGCAGCCGCGGUAAUAC
rnacentral:rRNA from 1 species